rnacentral:lncRNA from 1 species
GUCAGCUUCUUCUGCGGGCUCUGCAGGAUGGCCAUGGUGAUGAGCGCGAUGUACGACCCGUCGUCGCCCUCGCCCACCACAUCGAUGUCCACGUCCUCGGCCGUCAGCACCGUCUGGCCGGACAUGUCGCUGGCGCUGCCGCCGCCGGAGAGGGUCAUCCCUCCUCGGGGUGUGGACAAAUCCUCCAAGAUUUAACUUCCAAGAAAACCGGCGGCGGAGCGGGUGGAGGAGGCGAGGAUGUGUGGCCAAUGCACGCGGAGUGCAAGGCCGCCUAGUUGGGAGCCGCAAGAGCCUGCCUGGUGUGGCAGGCACACGGAACCCAAUCCCUGUCUGUCCGCUGCGGCCUGGGAGGGGAGCGCCGGCCUCACCAGAGGAAGGAGCACGAGGGGAGGAGUUCCGAGAGGAAAUAAUUAGUGAAAUAUUUGCAGAAGAUGCUGGGAUGUGGAUUUAAUUCCGGAUGGACAGUGGUGCUUCUGAUUCCCUCAGUCUGUUUCCCCACCCACGAUCUCCUCUUUCCUUGGCCUAGACACACCAAAAAUAAUUCAAUAAAAUAAAAAUAAAAAUUUAAAAAUCUGUAAACUUGCUUCAUUACAGGCAUUGAGACACACAGAUUGACUUUCAUCCCCAUUAGACAGUUUCCCAGGAUAUAACACUACUCAUCUGAGGCUGGGAGCAGGGUAGGGGGUGGUGACA